AUAUAUAUAUAUAUAUUAGGGGUGCAACAAUACUCGUAUCGAUAUUGAACCGUUCGAUACGGUGCUUUCGGUUCGGUACGCAUUUGUAUCGAACAAUACAAAAUUUGUAAUUUAUUUUAUCAACUUUCCUUCUGACGAUGCUGUCUGUGUUGAGUACUCAGUGGCUCUGCGCUCGACAGUGCAGCCUAGGCGGAGUAGUCGAACGCAGAUUCACUGAGCGCAGGGCAAGCUAGCGAGACAGAAGUUAAGCUCUCCUUGCAACAUGGCAAAGUGAACCUUCCCCACCCUCAUUCAGAUCUGGCGUUUGGAACUAUUUUGGUUUUCAUGUGACGUAUGACCCUGAAGGUAAGCGCGUCAUGGACUAAAGUAAAACAGUAUGUUGGAUGUGCCACAAUGCUCAAUUACAUGGGUGGGAGCUAGUGUGUUAGCGCAGUUAGCUCGUUAACGUGUUGGCCGUCCAGCCCCACGCACGGGGCGAUCCGCGGUAGCUCGUUAACGGAGAUUUGCCGUGUUGUGGCGUUAACGUCAUUUCAACGAGAUUAACGCUGACAGCACUAGUGGGAACACAACGAAUAUGACUGCACAUUUACGCCGACAUCAUCCUAGUGCAAAGACAAGUGGAAGCAGACAAAAACAACAAGCACGCAUGCUACAAACUUUACCCAAGUCAUUUAGACAGCCGUUAGCACAUGAUUCUCCUUAUGGGGACCUGAUAUGUUUAAUAUGCUGCUGAGAGUAUAGCCCAGAAGAAGCGGAUAGUAUAGCUUUUAUUUUGGAAAGAGCCAUUUCUCUGUAAUAAACUCUCUUUUCCAAAGAUGAGUAAUUCCUCAAUCAGAUACAGGGCUCGCAAAAUCGACAACGUCCCGACCAAAUAAGACAGGUCAGGGUGAAGAAGUGACAGCCAAAGAAAAGCUUACCACAAAACGGAAAAGUUAUGACAAAUCAGACUAUAAGGCAAAAAUAAAGUGCAGCUUUAUGGUUUCAUGGACAAAAGAAUUUCUGUGGCUGCAAUAUUACGAGCUAAAUAAUAACCAGGGCUGCACAUAAGUGGUCCGCAGGUGCGCAUUCGCUGUCAAAAUAAAAAACGUGCACAAGAUAAGAAGUUGCAACGCGUGUUUGCGUACAUAAGAUUUUCAGGAGGAGGACAGACAUUUGUUUAGAACUCUUAAAGAUGUCGAAGAAGCUCCUUUAAGCAAUUACUGUGAUGUUCCUCCACCUCCAAAGAAAUGUCAGGAGUCCGAACCACAAAAGAAGCGGAAAAGUAUUUGCAGGAGGUGAGCUGGCUUCAAACAAAUGAUGGACGCACAGAGAUGUGGUGCGGAAUGUGCCGUGAAAAUUUAAUCAAUGACAAAUUAAAAAGGCAUGAACAUUUUUUUUUGUAUCGAAAAAAUAUCGAACCGUGACACCAAAGUAUCGAACUGAACCGUGAAUUUUGUGUAUCGUUGCACCCCUAAUA
ensembl:lncRNA